rnacentral:rRNA from 1 species
GAAGCAGCCAUCAUUUAAAGAAAGCGUAAUAGCUCACUGGUCGAGUCGGCCUGCGCGGAAGAUGUAACGGGGCUAAACCAUGCACCGAAGCUGCGGCAGCGACGCUGAUGCGUUGUUGGGUAGGGGAGCGUUCUGUAAGCCUGCGAAGGUGUGCUGUGAGGCAUGCUGGAGGUAUCAGAAGUGCGAAUGCUGACAUAAGUAACGAUAAAGCGGGUGAAAAGCCCGCUCACCGGAAGACCAAGGGUUCCUGUCCAACGUUAAUCGGGGCAGGGUGAGUCGACCCCUAAGGCGAGGCCGAAAGGCGUAGUCGAUGGGAAACAGGUUAAUAUUCCUGUACUUGGUGUUACUGCGAAGGGGGGACGGAGAAGGCUAUGUUGGCCGGGCGACGGUUGUCCCGGUUUAAGCAUGUAGGCUGGUUUUCCAGGCAAAUCCGGAAAAUCAAGGCUGAGGCGUGAUGACGAGGCACUACGGUGCUGAAGCAACAAAUGCCCUGCUUCCAGGAAAAGCCUCUAAGCAUCAGGUAACAUCAAAUCGUACCCCAAACCGACACAGGUGGUCAGGUAGAGAAUACCAAGGCGCUUGAGAGAACUCGGGUGAAGGAACUAGGCAAAAUGGUGCCGUAACUUCGGGAGAAGGCACGCUGAUAUGUAGGUGAGGUCCCUCGCGGAUGGAGCUGAAAUCAGUCGAAGAUACCAGCUGGCUGCAACUGUUUAUUAAAAACACAGCACUGUGCAAACACGAAAGUGGACGUAUACGGUGUGACGCCUGCCCGGUGCCGGAAGGUUAAUUGAUGGGGUUAGCGCAAGCGAAGCUCUUGAUCGAAGCCCCGGUAAACGGCGGCCGUAACUAUAACGGUCCUAAGGUAGCGAAAUUCCUUGUCGGGUAAGUUCCGACCUGCACGAAUGGCGUAAUGAUGGCCAGGCUGUCUCCACCCGAGACUCAGUGAAAUUGAACUCGCUGUGAAGAUGCAGUGUACCCGCGGCAAGACGGAAAGACCCCGUGAACCUUUACUAUAGCUUGACACUGAACAUUGAGCCUUGAUGUGUAGGAUAGGUGGGAGGCUUUGAAGUGUGGACGCCAGUCUGCAUGGAGCCGACCUUGAAAUACCACCCUUUAAUGUUUGAUGUUCUAACGUUGACCCGUAAUCCGGGUUGCGGACAGUGUCUGGUGGGUAGUUUGACUGGGGCGGUCUCCUCCUAAAGAGUAACGGAGGAGCACGAAGGUUGGCUAAUCCUGGUCGGACAUCAGGAGGUUAGUGCAAUGGCAUAAGCCAGCUUGACUGCGAGCGUGACGGCGCGAGCAGGUGCGAAAGCAGGUCAUAGUGAUCCGGUGGUUCUGAAUGGAAGGGCCAUCGCUCAACGGAUAAAAGGUACUCCGGGGAUAACAGGCUGAUACCGCCCAAGAGUUCAUAUCGACGGCGGUGUUUGGCACCUCGAUGUCGGCUCAUCACAUCCUGGGGCUGAAGUAGGUCCCAAGGGUAUGGCUGUUCGCCAUUUAAAGUGGUACGCGAGCUGGGUUUAGAACGUCGUGAGACAGUUCGGUCCCUAUCUGCCGUGGGCGCUGGAGAACUGAGGGGGGCUGCUCCUAGUACGAGAGGACCGGAGUGGACGCAUCACUGGUGUUCGGGUUGUCAUGCCAAUGGCACUGCCCGGUAGCUAAAUGCGGAAGAGAUAAGUGCUGAAAGCAUCUAAGCACGAAACUUGCCCCGAGAUGAGUUCUCCCUGACUCCUUGAGAGUCCUGAAGGAACGUUGAAGACGACGACGUUGAUAGGCCGGGUGUGUAAGCGCAGCGAUGCGUUGAGCUAACCGGUACUAAUGAACCGUGAGGCUUAACCUU